AUUUAUUACUAUGGCAGAAGCGAAGAGUAUCAGCGGGUGAGUAGCGACGGUGGCCAUAAUCGCCGCAGAUUGAAAGGAUUGCGGCAGAGUUGAGCGGCGGUCUAGUAAAAGUCGCUCAUCAGUCCUGUAUCGCAGUUGGACAGUGAAAAAAUGCUGGCAAAUCUGCAUACAUAUCUUUAAGCUUCUUUUUCUGUUUGGCGCGAACAAGAGAGGGAACAGGGCGCGAAACAACCCGCACCCCCUAUGCCUUAAUAUCCCCGGCGACCGCUGCAGCUCCACCCUGCGCCUCUGUGUGGGUUUUCGAGUCGCAGAGCCCCCAUUUGUACUUCUCUCACCGGCGUCAAAGUUUCCUAUAUCCUCGAUCGUGCACGACACUAUUACACCUUCCUCCAUCGUGAGCCAAUCCGAGCUAUCGUAGCCUCUCCCCUGUCACUGCCUGUAGAGGAUCUUCAACGGUGUCGGUUACUAAGUACUGCGAAAAGAAAUUGCAAAAUUGUCUCUAAGGAGAAGCUUCUAGAGCACACUCUGAUCAAGGUAUUUUCUGGCUGAAAUUGAGGGACCUGAGCAAAAAUCUGAUUCAGAGGCUGAUAAAGGACUGCAGAUGCUGUUGGUUUCUGACCUCCCUGCACUUGAAAUGGAUUUUUUGGCGCUACAGGAGUCCAAAUGGUGCGCUCUCAAUUGAUUUGGAAAGUAGACAUCCAGGGCUUUCCAGCAAUAUAUAAUAGUCCAUACUUUGCCCGAGUUUAGACGAUACAAACUGGCGUUUAACGCCAGCUUUCUGCCCUAUUCUGGCGUUAAACGCCAGAAACAAGUUGCAAAGCAGAGUUAAACGCCAGAAACAAAUUAAAAACUGGCGUUUAACUCCAAGGAAGAUUUUUACACAUAAAAGCUUCAAUGCUCAGCCUAAGCACACACCAAGUGGGCCCAGAAGUGGAUUUCUGCAUCAUUUACCUAUUUCUGUAACCCUAGUAACUAGUUUAGUAUAAAUAGAACUUUUGCCUAUUGUAUUAGACAUCUUUGGAUUAUCUUUUGAUCCUUUGAUCACGUUUUGGAGGCUCGCCUCUCGGCCAUGCCUAGACCUUGGUCUUAUGUAUUUUCAACGGUGGAGUUUCUACACACCAUAGAUUAAGGUGUGGAGCUCUGCUGUUCCUAGAGUAUUAAUGCAAAGUACUAUUGUUCUUCUAUUCAAUUCAUGCUUAUUCUUAUUCUAAGAUAUUCAU